rnacentral:snRNA from 1 species
AUGCUUACCCGGUGGCCGGGCCUCGUUGAUUCCCGAGGAAAAGCCCGCAGUGCCAGGCGCGGGCAUUGCACUGCGCUCGCGUUGAUCGCUGCCACUACCCCAAACUUUAGCAGAUGAGACAUGCAAAUUGUUUAUAUCCGGUUCAACGCCAGAGAGGGCGCCACCGCC